UUCCAACUUGACGUCUCUUACUUGGCUAGAGUGAUCUCUUGCUUCUCCACUGGCAAGGACUUCGGUGGACAAUACCAACGGUUACCUUGCGCAUUUCCCGUCUCCUGCACGCCGCGUGUGGUCGCUACCGGCGCCUCGGCCGUGUACCUCUGUAUUGGCACUCCGACUGUGAGAAUCGCGCAUCGGUGCACCCUCAUCUCCGGGUUGUAUCCGUGUGGCCGUGGUCAGACACACCACGCGUUUAGGUGCACGAGCGGCGACUUUUAGCCCCGGUUGUGUGGUGCCUCUGGAAGCCGGGAACCCGUAUCUCGGCUGCUGCUCCGGCCUCGGGAAAUUGGACAUUCGUGUGUGUGUGUGUGUGUGUGUGCGUUGGCGCGCUUAGUUCAGUGUGUGUGUGUGUGUGUGUGGGCGCUCGGCUCGGUGUGAGCUGGUGUGUGAGCCAUUCCACAGUGUGUGUGCGUGUGUGUACGUUGGUGCGUGUGAGUGUGUGUGGGGAUACCUAGGGGACUGCACUGAGCUGAGCCUCUGGGGUUGGUUUACCUCAUGUUUUGAUUUUCGUUUUCUUUCGUUUGCUGUGCCUAAUUUCCUUUUUCAUUAUUUCAUUCAAUCAUCUAAUUUCUUAUUUAAUUGCAUGUGUUAAUUGGAUUUUGAUUUAUUUUGCAUGGUUUGCUAUGAUUUCUUGUUGUUUCUGUUUGCCGUGAAUUAUUUCUGUUUGUUGUGAACUAUUUCUUUACUUUUUCUUUUGUUAAUCCUGAGGUGUGCCAUUCGCCCUAUUGUGUUAGCCGUGCCAGCCCCUAGUGGCAGAGUCCGACAACCUGAGUGUGGGUUCUAAGGCCCUAGGCCUACCAGGUGUGUUGUCUAUUGUGAAUUAGUGAACAUACUUUGGGACAGGUGUUUACAGAUCCGCGGGUGUGGUGGCAGCACGCCCACCCCUGCACUUUACUGUUAACGUGAACAUACUUUGGGGCAGGUGUUUAUAGAUCCGCGGGUGAUUGCGACAGCACACCCACCCCACUGCACUUUGUGAAUUGUGAGUACCUUUUAUAUUUAUUGCAAAGAGUGAGAAAAAUAUAUUUUUAUAACGCAAAGAAUAAUAAAGAUUUGAAUUAUUAAUGGUCA